UAGACAUGUCCAGCUUCCGAAGACAAAAUCACAGAAUUAUGGUGGAGCCCUCCCAUAGGAGGGGCACUAGAGGAUACUCAAGGAAGUUCUUCAGUACCCCUGCAAAGCAUUGACUUGACGGUCGUUGAACACAGUUUUAUUGGCCAGAGGAAAACAAAAAAGAGCCUUGCAUGUGGUGGUAAACUGAGGUAAUGACACAGCUCUGGCUGUCCCCUCAACUCCUUGUGGGUCUGAAUUACCCAUGCCCACCCAGCACUGAUUCUCACUGCUUUUCUGGAACUGUCUCUGUCCACCUUUCCUCUGUUCCCAUGACUUUCAGCUGAGUCAUGGUAUAGGGAGAAGAGCCAAGUGACAAAUGGCUCUAGCUUAGCAGAGCUGUAUCUCUGUCACAGCUACCAGCUUCCCUGCACCAGUGCCCAGCCUGAAGCUUGUUCUCCAGGAAUCAUAGUGAUGAGCCCAGUCUGCAGCCUGUUAACCAACUGGUUCCUGAGGAAUGGAGCCCACCGAAGAUAACGUUCCAAGGAGGAACUAAAAGAAGCACUUGGCUCCUGCGGAGCCCCAGCCAGGCACAGCCUUCUGCUAUAUCCCCAGACCUCAGUUCUCCAUGAACUCUCUAUGCCCAGUGCCUUGUAUGCCCAUUUCCUUGAAGGGGUCCUGGAAGACUCUGCGGACACCACAGCCCAGCUAGAUGGAUUGAUUGGGAAUUUCUGGGUAGAAGUCACCUUGGGUUCAAAUGGAUCCUGCCUGCUUGCCAGAACAAAGAGGUAUCAUCUCCCAUGUCCAACUACUACUAGGGAGAAGGCCCUGUCUGGCUGCUCAGGCCAGAGAAAUUCAGCUGAAAUAGACAACAGAGAUCCUCUCGGUCAGAAGUUACAGUUGUUCUCAGAAGUGACUGUUGUCACAUGUUAUUUAUUGGGAUCCAAAGUGAGGUUUCCCUCAGCCACCAUGUCUGCUGCCUGGGUGAAUGAUCUUCCAGCCUCCUUGUGGGAAAUGACUUGAUGUCCUACUUGCUGCCUCAUCUUCCCUGGCUUCCAUGACAAUCACAUCAGUGGCCUCUAUGUGCAGGACCAUGUGCAGUGGACAGCAGUGACUUCUGCUCAGCUAUGUGAGUGUCCCCCUAAGAACAGCUAAACCUACUUGCCAUUUCACCUGGGCUGAGGAAACGGGUGAU
rnacentral:lncRNA from 1 species